UGAAAGCCCGCAGCUUAACUGCGGGUCUGCGGUGGAUACGGGCCGGCUAGAGGUAGGUAGGGGCAAGUGGAAUUCCUGGUGUAGCGGUGAAAUGCGCAGAUAUCAGGAGGAACACCGGUGGCGAAGGCGGCUUGCUGGGCCUUACCUGACGCUGAGGAGCGAAAGCGAGGGGAGCGAACAGGAUUAGAUACCCUGGUAGUCCACGCUGUAAACGUUGGGCGCUAGGUGUGGGACCCUUCCACGGGUUCCGUGCCGGAGCUAACGCAUUAAGCGCCCCGCCUGGGGAGUACGGCCGCAAGGCUAAAACUCAAAGGAAUUGACGGAGGCCCGCACAAGCGGCGGAGCAUGUUGCUUAAUUCGACGCAACGCGAAGAACCUUACCAAGGUUUGACAUCACCCGGACACUCCCAGAGAUGGGGGCUUCUUCGGACUGGGUGACAGGUGGUGCAUGGCUGUCGUCAGCUCGUGUCGUGAGAUGUUGGGUUAAGUCCCGCAACGAGCGCAACCCUUGCUCCAUGUUGCCAGCAACACCGUUUUGGUGGUUGGGGACUCAUGGGGGACUGCCGGGGUCAACUCGGAGGAAGGUGGGGAUGACGUCAAGUCAUCAUGCCCCUUAUGUCUUGGGCUGCAAACAUGCUACAAUGGCCGGUACAGAGGGUUGCGAUGCCGUGAGGCGGAGCGAAUCCCUAAAAGCCGGUCUCAGUUCGGAUUGGGGUCUGCAACUCGACCCCAUGAAGUCGGAG
rnacentral:rRNA from 1 species